CGACCCCACGUCAGGCGGGACUACCCGCUGAGUGUAAGCAUACAAAAG
rnacentral:rRNA from 1 species